rnacentral:lncRNA from 1 species
AAAAUGGUUUCAUGCAAUUCGAUAAUGAGAUAGUUUCGAACAAUAUCAACGUUGUGGAUAACAACGCCUGAGAGGAGAUGGAGAGAUUGUGCCCGAGGUGGGUAUGACAUUUAAAGAUGAAAAUGAGUUGUUUGAUUUCUACAAGCAAUAUGCCUAUGCAGUUGGUUUUCUAGUCAGAAAAAGAAAUUCUAAAAAGGGGGAUGAUGGAAUUGUUAGAUUUGUGACAUUUACAUGUAGUCGUGAAGGCCGAAGGUCUAGUAAUACAAACAGUGCUUUGAAGUCGCAACCAACAAGUCAAACAGAUUGUAAAGCACGAAUAUCUGUAUCUGCAGACUGUAAUGGCACAUGGAGAAUUAACACCGUCAACCUCCAGCAUAACCAUAAGACAAGUCCUUCGAAGUCUAGGAUGUUUCAGUGCAGUCGGGAAUUACGUGCAAAUGUAAAACGAAAGCUUGAAUUGAAUGACAUAGCGGGUAUUCCACUGUACAAAAGUUUCAACUCUACAGUUGUAGAGGCAGGUGGAUAUGAGAAUAUGACUUGUGUUGAAAAAUAUUGCUGAAAUUAUAUUGAACAAGUUAGACGGUUACGACUUGGAGAGGGAGAUGCAGUAGCAUUACAAUCUUACUUUUCACAGAUGCAAGCACGGUGCUCAGGGUUUUACUUCGCUAUGGAUUUGGAUGACGAGUCUCGGCUUAAGAAUGUAUUUUGGAUAGAUAAUAGAUGUAGGCAAGCUGACAAGGAGUUCGACGAUGUUGUAACCUUUGAUACCACUUAUUUGACGAAUAAGUACGACAUGCCUUUCGCACCUUUUGUUGGUGUGAAUCAUCACGGACAAUCAACACUGCUUGGUUGUGGCUUGUUAUCAAAUGAGAAUACAAGUACGUUUGUCUGGCUGCUUAGGACGUGGCUUGAGUGCAUGCAUGAUCAACCUUCAUGUGGAAUAAUUAUGGAUCAAGACAAAGCCAUGCAGAAUGAAAUCGAGAUUGUAUUUCCGAAUACUAGACAUAGAUGGUUUUUGUGGCACAUUAUGAAGAAAUUGCCAGAGAAGUUUGGAUGCCACAUUGAUAAAAGUUUGAUAUUCUCGACUAUACAUCAUUUGGUAUACGACUCGAAUGCUGUUGAUGAAUUUGAAGAAGGUUGGAGAGCUAUGAUCGAUGAGUUUGAGUUGCAUGACAAUGAUUAGUUGUUUGGAUUGUACGAAAAUUGAGGUCGUUGGGUGCCUUAUUUUUUGAAAACAACUUUCUAGGCCGGGAUGUCUACAACACAAUGAAGUGAAAGUAUGAAUACAUUUUUCGAUAGAUACGUCCAUUCGAAGACCUCUUUGAAGCAGUUCGUUGAACAGUACGAACAAGCACUAAGGAAUAAGGUUGAAAAAGAGUUCCAAGUUGAUUUCAAAUCAUACUCGUAGAUGGUCCAGUGUGCAACAAGUUUUGAGAUGGAAAAAUAAUUUCAAUUAGUAUACACAAUUUCACAGUUCAAGGAAUUUUAGGAUGAGUUUGUAGGAAAGAUUUAUUGUGAUGUCGCUUCAGAAGUAGAGGGAUUGGAUGGGGUGAAGUACGAGGUUCGGGAGUCUAUAGUAUACCUCAAGGGUAGGAAGAAGAAAACAUUUCUCGUCUUAUUUCGGAUGGACUCUAGUGAAGUGAUGUGUAGUUGCCACUUGUUUGAGUUUUGAGGAAUUAUUUGUAGGCAUGCGAUCACAGUAUUCGACCGUAAUGACUUCACACGAACGCCAGAGAAGUAUAUAUUGCGGCGGUGGAGGAAAGAUGUUAGUAGGGCACAUACGAAGGUCGCAGUGAACUACGCCGGGUUGGUUAGUAUGCUUGAACAAUUAACCUAUGAUGAUAUGUGUCAAGCAUUUUCGGAGGUGGCAGACCUCACUGCGAGUGACAAAGGCCAGGCUUGAGCAAUAAUGGAUUAGAUAAAAUGCCAAGCAACAGAGUUGAGGACUUCCCGGUCGAGUGGUGGUAGUAAUGUCCUUCCCCAGCAAAAUUUUCAGGGUGCCACAUAGUGCAUUGGAUCGUAGAAUACCACUGGCAUGAGUGUGUUGAAUCCUAACUCGUCAAAAUGAAAGGGCGUGUUGAGGAAGCUUAAGAAAAAAGGCCCGUUGGAGUGUAUUUCGAAGAAGGUAACGGUAUUUUUCCCUAUUAAUCUCUUCAAGUACAUGCGACCUCCACCACAAAAUUUGAAUUUUGUCCAUGUAUGUGCAGGCAAGUUCAAAGUCAGACAAAGGAAAGAGACUGAGAGAUAGGUGCAUUGAUAUGGAAGAGGCUGCACCUAAAGUCCAGCAAUCUCAACAACUUCAACAUUCGCAGCCAGCACCAUUCUCGUAUUCAUAGCUUCUGUUGGUCAGUAAGCGUAAUUUAUUUUCAUAGUUUUUAUAUUUUUAUUUUCUAAUUAUGUUGGUAUUGGACAUAGGGUGACUUCGAAAGUCAAGUGUGUACGCAACUUUCAUUAUCAUCUUCUAAUGUUGUAUUCAAUUCACAAGGUGAACACGUGUUUACAUAAUCAUAAUUCACAGUCGAUUUUUCCCCUUUUUUCAUGUGUUUGUUGACCCAAAUUUUAAUUUAGGUGCGUAUUUUACUAACCCGCAUUUACCACAUCCCGAAGUUGCAGUGGCUGGGACGAGCCAAAUAGCAUAUAAUUUUCUUCAGGUUCAUUUUUAGUGAAUGUGGAUUUUAGACCAUAAUGUUGUUAGACCGAAUUUAGCGUCUCAUGUGUUAUGUUAUUUUUCCCCUUCUUUCAGGUUCAAGGUUCAGAUUCUUUUCCAAGAGCAACGCACUUGGCAAAUUUGUCCAACGUUGUCC